GAGUGCGUGGGGACUAGCAUCGAGCAGAGAAGUCUAAACAGCUAGAUAAGCAAGGUUAAAAGUAAUAUGGUUCAAAUAGAUAGCUAAAAGUAAUGUAUACAUGGUUUAAAUAGAUAAUGUAGUUAAAAGUAAUAGAUGUACCAAAUAGUUAAUAGUAAGAAUUAAAAUGAAUUCAAGUGAUAGUUGAAAGAGCUAGCUAGCUAAAAAAUAAUGGAUAAACACCUGGCCACCUAGCUAAAAGUAAUGUAAAUAAUUGGUGAAAAAGCUUAGUAGUAGUUAGUUAGUUAAGUAGUUAGCCUACAUGGUUAAAAUUGAUAGUUAAAAGUUAUGGAUAACUGUUGAAAUAGUUAGGUAGAGGAUAUAAAAAGCAACAAACAAAAAAUUAAUAGAAACAUGGUUGAACUAAACGAUUAGAAUAGAUUAAUGGUUAAGAGAACUAGCUAAGAGAAGUGAAUGGUUGAAAUAGCUAAAGGUAACAGAUAAAUGGUUGAAAUAGAUGCUAAAUGGUUGUAGUCCAGCUUCUGCCACCCCAGGUGGUAGGCUAGUUGCACGAAAGCAAACUUAACUGCCCGUGUAUAUUCAAAUUUAAAUAUUGAAAAAAAUAUUGCAACAAUCCACUUUUUAUAUUUUUUAUUAUGUUAUAUAACAUCCUGUUUAAAAAGUAUGCUGAAGGCUUACUUGAGUUCAUCUGACAGGGCUGUGGCGAUACAUCAGAUAAAAAAGGUUGGGAACCACUGAGAAGACAACCGUAGACACAAUAACAAAAAUGUUCUUAGAAAGGAAAAAACACUGAAGCUGUUUCAUAGGCCCUGUAUACCAACCCAAAGACCCUUUGGAAGUCCCCAGAUUCCACUUUGGAAAUGACUCUUCCAUGUCAAUAAUUCCCUAACUGAGGCCUUGUGGAUCCCCAGAGAUCAUUUAGGGAACUCCAGGGGGGAAGGACAGCAAAGAAUGGAAACAAUUCAGCUUCCCCAUUGGUUGAAACUACAAAAGGAGAUCUCCUACAAGUGACAUCAUUACUCCCUCUCCCAUCAGACAGUAGAUGACAGGACCACAUGGGGCAGAUUGGGUUGAUUGCAUAAAAGGAUUGAGGAAACACGUGUUGCCAGUUCCAGCUCUUUACACGCCAACCAGGAGACUAACCAUGGACUAAGUUUUCUGAAAUGCUGCUUGGCAAGAAAUCUCUUCUGACAAUAUGCAGCCCAAGCAAAAAAACAAGUUCUUACCAUCCUCACAUGAAGCUUAAUUUUGUUGUUGUCUAAAAGCCUGGUCACUGUGCUGGAGA